CCAGAUGCACUUCAAGUAGGUUUCUAUACGGGUUCAACCAGUGCCUAAUUUUCGGCAGAGAGAGACGAAGAGGGGAAGAGACCGUGAAAUCCACAAUGUAGCCGUUACAAAUCGUCGAAAGGACCGUUUUGUGUCGAUCAAGCGUUUCUAGUUAAUUUGCAAAGUAGCAAACUUUGCAGUUUCUUAUUCAACUGUGGCAAUACCGCCGGCAUCGAUUUGUCGUGUCAAUAUAAUUGUGAUUGACAACACGAUCGUAUACGCAGACGAACUAAAGACUACACUUUAGUGGAUUGAGGGACUCCUACCAAAUGCUGCGUCUGCAAUUGGUUCAACGAGUAGAAGAUUCGUUUUUGUCUGGCUCUGGAACUGGCGAAGGACUCGGGUCUGCUAUUUGCUAAAACACUGAUCACUUGGAGUACUGCUGCAGUUCUGAAUGAUCAAACCAGCUUGCGUGGCAGAAUAGCGCCAGCUGAAUGAUGGUCGCUAUCUGCGACCUAUCAAUCACAACAGUGUUUGACAGCGAUCUCUUUUCGUCGGCAAAAGAGGCGACAGAAAAUACAGGCAGCGUGUUGUUUAGAGGACAGUACCGAUUUGGACGAUAUUCCUCAAUGCCUGCACAGAGGAAACCACUUUCGACGCAGGCAUGCUUUUCGACAAGGUGUCAUUUGGGCUAUUUGACCUAACUGUUUAACGAACUUCACGGAACUUGGACGACUACUAUGGAGCUGUUCGCAUCGCACCAGACUUCAGUGCAUCAAUUAUUGGAUUUUUCCUAUAAAUAGGCCUAUCAGGACGAAACGAUGCCUUUAGCCUACUGUAAAUGCAGUGGCCGCACUGAGCCUUGGCCAUAAAAAUGGACAAAAUCUGCCUCAAGUUUAUGGUUUAUUCGCUUUCCGAUUCCCUACUGGAAAUUUCUUAGCCGGAGCAACGGCUAGGAACGAGUCCUACACUCGAAGCCCUAUUAUAUAGACCGAACGGCUUCAGAACCCCUAUAUAGUGCGCAUCAUGCGUCUCAUAUUAUCUACUGUCUGUACUGAA
rnacentral:lncRNA from 1 species